GGGCUGUCUUUGGCAGCACACACACUAAAAUCAGAACAAUUCAGAGAAGAUUAACAUGGCCCCCACACAAGGAAGACAUGCAAAUUGGUCAAGUAUUCUGUAUUUUU
ensembl:snRNA U6 U6 spliceosomal RNA